rnacentral:rRNA from 1 species
CGGGGGGCUGCACCAGUGAGGAAUAUUGCACAAUGGGGGGAACCCUGAUGCAGCAACGCCGCGUGGAGGAUGACGCAUUUCGGUGUGUAAACUCCUUUUAUAUGUCAAGAAAAUGACGGUAGCAUAUGAAUAAGCACCGGCUAACUCCGUGCCAGCAGCCGCGGUAAUACGGAGGGUGCAAGCGUUACUCGGAAUCACUGGGCGUAAAGGACGCGUAGGCGGGUUGGAAAGUCAGGUGUGAAAUCCUACAGCUUAACUGUAGAACUGCACUUGAAACUUCUAAUCUAGAGUAUGGGAGGGGGAGAUGGAAUUAGUGGUGUAGGGGUAAAAUCCGUAGAUAUCACUAGGAAUACCUAAAGCGAAGGCGAUCUCCUGGAACAUUACUGACGCUAAGGCGUGAAAGCGUGGGGAGCAAACAGGAUUAGAUACCCCUGUAGUC